UAAGUAGAUCGCUUUAUCGCUUUUGUGCUGAAUUUGUUUUAGUGUCUAAGUUUAUAUUUAAAAGGUACUGAAACAAGUUCAGCACUUGAGAGGAAAGUCCGAACACCGUAGUGCAACAUAGUGGUUAACAGCCACCAGUCGUGAGGCUAGGAAAAGUGCAACAGAAAGUAUGUACAGGUCAUGCUGUAGUGAAACCGGGUAAACUCUAUGUGGUGCAAUGCCAUGUAUACCAGUGUUUGAGGGCUGCACGCUCGAUACUGGAGGGUAGGCAGCUAAAGUGUAUUGGUAACAAUAUACGUAGAUAAAUGAUAAAGUAUUCUUGUAUUUGUUUUGGGUGAUCCUAAAACAAGUUCGAGAUAAACAGAAUUCGGCUUAUAGAUUUACUUGAAAA
rnacentral:RNase_P_RNA from 1 species